GCCCCUGGAAGCGCCGAAGUGCAAAUCCGGCCCCAACCCCCAUAAGGGUGCCGGGGCUU
rnacentral:tRNA from 1 species